UCCCUCUCAGGGCCGCACCUGGAGAGUUUCCGAUACUCUACCAGUCUCGACUACGGGAGGGAGAGUCGAGCAGAGGCCCGUCCAUUCCAUUCCUAGCUUGGGCAGUGGCAAGCGAGUGGAAGACAAUCUGCUACAAGU